rnacentral:rRNA from 1 species
CCUACGGGAGGCAGCAGGGAGGAAUAUUGGUCAAUGGACGAGAGUCUGAACCAGCCAAGUAGCGUGAAGGAUGACUGCCCUAUGGGUUGUAAACUUCUUUUAUAUGGGAAUAAAAUGUUCCACGUGUGGGAUUUUGUAUGUACCAUAUGAAUAAGGAUCGGCUAACUCCGUGCCAGCAGCCGCGGUAAUACGGAGGAUCCGAGCGUUAUCCGGAUUUAUUGGGUUUAAAGGGAGCGUAGGUGGAUUGUUAAGUCAGUUGUGAAAGUUUGCGGCUCAACCGUAAAAUUGCAGUUGAAACUGGCAGUCUUGAGUACAGUAGAGGUGGGCGGAAUUCGUGGUGUAGCGGUGAAAUGCUUAGAUAUCACGAAGAACUCCGAUUGCGAAGGCAGUUCACUGGACUGCAACUGACACUGAGGCUCGAAAGUGUGGGUAUCAAACAGGAUUAGAUACCCGAGUAGUC